UACAGAGGUCUCAAGCGUUGUUCGGACUCAUUGGGCGUAAAGGGUGCGUAGGUGGCGGGGUAAGUCUGGUGUGAAAUCCUGGGGCUCAACCCCGGAACUGCACUGGAUACUGCUUUGCUAGAGUACUGGAGAGGGAACUGGAAUUUACGGUGUAGCAGUGAAAUGCGUAGAUAUCGUAAGGAAGACCAGUGGCGAAGGCGAGUUCCUGGACAGUUACUGACACUGAGGCACGAAGGCCAGGGGAGCAAACGGG
rnacentral:rRNA from 1 species